AAAAUUUUAAUCUUAUAAGCAUGAAAGCCCGCACAUUGCAAUAUGCUAAUAAACGAAUCGCAUGAAGUAAUUUUAAUUUUAAUUUCGGUCAAGUUACGGAUAAUUAAGUUUUCUAUGUGGAUACCACAUCAUAAUUUCAGUUCUCAAACUCGAAUGAUGAAACGGCGGGUGAGAGAUAGUUUUGUGUAAUGCUCAGAGGAUCAUGUAUCGAAAAUUAUUCUUUAAUAAUUCAUUCGAUUAUUAUGAAUUUAGCAACGCUAAUUGCAUGCCGGAUAUUCAUUAACAGUACUAGUAGUUUGAUGAAUGGAUUUCUGUCCCUUACAUUAUGAGUCGAAAGUUUUCCUCGGGGCUCAGAUUUGGUUCCUAAUUUUUUAUACCCAUAUAUAUAUAACUUUUUUAUUAUCCUUCUAUAUUAGUAUGUUUUAUCUUUUUAUUAAUGAGUUACAACAACUUGUUCUAAACGCCAAGGUCAAAUAUGAUGAUGACUCUGAAUUUUUAUUCCAGAAUCACGUCUGAAGGUGACUAGCAACUUCAAAAAAAUUAUGCAAAAUCUCCAUAAAUAUAGAUAAUUCUGAUUAAUGCACCGU
rnacentral:lncRNA from 1 species